rnacentral:misc_RNA from 1 species
AAGUCGUAACAAGGUCUCCGUAGGUGAACCUGCGGAGGGAUCAUUACAAGUUGACCCCGGCCCUCGGGCCGGGAUGUUCACAACCCUUUGUUGUCCGACUCUGUUGCCUCCGGGGCGACCCUGCCUCCGGGCGGGGCCCCGGGUGGACAUUUCAACUCUUGCGUAACUUUGCAGUCUGAGUAAAUUUAAUUAAUAAAUUAAA